AACGAACGCUGGCGGCAUGCCUAACACAUGCAAGUCGAACGAGACCUUCGGGUCUAGUGGCGCACGGGUGCGUAACGCGUGGUAACCUGCCCUUAGGUUCGGAAUAACUCCCCUAAAGGGGUGCUAAUACCGGAUAAUGUCUUCGCACCAAAGAUUUAUCGCCUUUGGAUGGGCCCGCGUGGGAUUAGCUAGUUGGUAGGGUAAAAGCCUACCAAGGCGAGGAUCCAUAGCUGGUCUGAGAGGAUGAUCAGCCACACUGGGACUGAGACACGGCCCAGACUCCUACGGGAGGGAGCAGUGGGGAAUAUUGGACAAUGGGCGAAAGCCUGAUCCAGCAAUGCCGCGUGAGUGAUGAAGGCCUUAGGGUUGUAAAGCUCUUUUACCCGGGAUGAUAAUGUCAGUACCGGGAGAAUAAGCUCCGGCUAACUCCGUG
rnacentral:rRNA from 1 species